AGAAAAAUAAGUACAACAGCAGCAGUCAGUGAGAACCAAAUCAAUAGCUAACUCAAUCUCAACCCAGAAAAUAGAUCAAUAGUCCAAAUACCAAACGGGAAGGAGGGAUUGACCAAAACAACACCAAAGCAGACCAAAUAAACUCAAAUGGCAUCCAGGAAUAUCAUCAAACAUCAAACUCUCACAAAACCCAUCUUAAUUCAUCCAAAACUGAUCAAUACCAAACCAACACUAUCUAGAAAACUACGAUAAUCAAAGGAGAAGAAAAUCCAACAAAACUAAGUCAAAAACCAAAUGUAACAACACACUCUUGCAGUUUUCCCAUGUUUUCUUCUUUUUUUUUUUCCUUCUGAAACUAUGAACUUAAAAGAAGAUUUUCUUCCGUU
rnacentral:lncRNA from 1 species